rnacentral:sRNA from 1 species
AAUCGGACAAGCACUGCGGGGGCUUCUCCGCGGCUGCACCGC